GAACAUCUUAAACCUGAGGGAGUGUGUGGGGGGGGUUCCCCUGCCCCCCGUCACACCAGUGGGACUGCUCUGUCCGUUGGAACUCGACCCGGCCGGGGCCACCUAUGGACAGAGGGAGAGAGAAAGAGUCCCAGCCUGAGGCUUCGGUCUCUGCACACGACUGCAGAAAAAUAUCGAGUCAUUUCCUGGGAGAAGAUCAAAUAAUGAAGAUGUGUCCCUCAGAUAUCUCAUGGCCUUUAAGGUUCAAGGACGUGCAACCUAACGCCGCGGCUCGUCACUCUGCGGCUCUGAGCUCGUCUGGUUACCAACCAGUUUCAUCUGGAUGGAAGUCAGAAAAGGAUGGUUUCUGCCAGAAUGAGCCUUUUAUGGCGUUUGUGAGAGACUGUGGCGUGAUUAGUGUUUACAGCUUGUUAUCUGAAGAAUGACGUGGCAAUAAACAAGGUCUGCCAC